ACGCUCGACACCUACGAGGCAGCAGUGGGGAAUAUUGCACAAUGGAGGAAACUCUGAUGCAGCGAUGCCGCGUGAGGGAAGAAGGUUUUCGGAUUGUAAACCUCUGUCUUUGGGGACGAUAAUGACGGUACCCAAGGAGGAAGCUCCGGCUAACUACGUGCCAGCAGCCGCGGUAAUCUGAGCGGGCUGGCAAGGC
rnacentral:rRNA from 1 species